AUACGUAGGGAGCGAGCGUUGUCCGGAUUUACUGGGCGUAAAGGGCGCGUAGGCGGGUAAAUAAGUCAGAUGUGAAAACUAUGGGCUCAACCCAUAGCCUGCAUUUGAAACUGUAUAUCUUGAGGGCAGGAGAGGAAAGUGGAAUUCCUAGUGUAGCGGUGAAAUGCGUAGAUAUUAGGAGGAACACCAGUGGCGAAGGCGACUUUCUGGACUGAACCUGACGCUGAAGCGCGAAAGCAUGGGGAGCAAACAGGAUUAGAUACCCUGGUAGUCCAUGCCGUAAACGAUGAAUACUAGGUGUAGGGGGUAUCGACCCCCUCUGUGCCGCAGUUAACACAAUAAGUAUUCCGCCUGGGGAGUACGGCCGCAAGGUUGAAACUCAAAUGAAUUGGCGGGG
rnacentral:rRNA from 1 species